rnacentral:lncRNA from 1 species
UUGCAGGCGCUGGGGCUCCCAAAGGACGGAGCUUUGAAUCCACCUGGGAGGCUUAAGAGAAAGUGCUGAGUCCCCCAUGCCCUACCCCUGAGACUGCUGACAGGCAUCGCUGAGGGCUGCAGCUUUGGAAUCGGGCAUCUUCUGAGGAAGAGAAAGGCACCACAGCCACGGCACAGAAGACUAGAGACGGGUGUCACUAUGCUGCCCAGGCUGGUCUCUCGUGGCUUCAAGAGAUAUUCCCACCUUGGUCUUCCAGAGCACUGGAAUUGAAGUUCUAGGUGCAAUGUUUUAAGGGGAAGACUUACACUAUGAAGCUAGCCCAGAAGAGGGUGACUAGAGUACUGAGGAGUUUCUACCUGGAAGGGCUGUAAGACAACUGCUAUGUUGUGAGCGGCUCUAUGGAGAGGCCCAUGUGGAGGGAAGUGAGGAAGGCCUCUGGCCAACAGUCCAGGAGGAAGUGAAGCCCUCAGUCCAACAGCCUGUGUGGAACUGAACCCUGCAAACAACUCUGUGUGUGAGCUUGGAAGUGGAUCCAUAUUCAGUCAAACCUUGAGAUGGGACACCAUGCUCUGCUAACACUUGAUUGUGGUCCCAGCUAGGCCACUGCUGAAGUCUUGACUCAGAGAAACGAUGAUAUAGUAAAUGUUUGUUGUUUCAAGUUGGUAAGUUUUGGGAUAAUUUUUUAUAUAGUGAUAAUUUUUUAUAUACUUUAAAAUAACACAUUGCCCUAUCCUUUGGUUACACUUUUCUCUUGGAACUCUGCUUGCCCAUAUAUUACAGAAAUAUUUUUCAGAUCAUGGGCUGAAAGGUGGAUUAUGGAUGCAAUGUUUAAAUUUAGCAAUGUCAUUUAUGACUGUUCAUAUGAGCUUUGCUGCAUAAAAUGUUGAUAUUAAUUUGUUUCCCUUUAAGACAUUCUUAAUGUUUACCUCUCAGUAUUUUCUUUGUAAUCAAUUAAUGUAAGAUGAAUAUAGUUUGUAGGUUUUACCUUUCUUGAUUCGUAUACAAAACACACAACAUCCAACCAUUGUUAUUUAAAGAUUAUCUAGGAGGAGAUGAUGGAAACUCUGUUUUGGGCCACCUUCUUUACACAUUGGGUCUAUUUCCCCUAACUUGAGUAUAUAUUAAACUAGUGGGGGAUUGAGCUACAAAAAUGCUACUUGGUGAGAAUUUUAUUAAUACAAAUACUCAACUCUGAAGUUACGUUUUUGUGGAAAGUUAUCACUUUGGAAUUUGAAUUUUCUUGGAGCUAAGCCACUGGUAGUUGUAAAAGCUACACCUGUAAAUUUGCUCCCUAGAAGAUACUUUCGUUUAGUGACCACUUGUUUCUCUGUGGAUAAAUUCAAUUAUAAAUUACAA